UGGUUGGUUGAAUCGGAUGGAACAUAACAUAUGUAGGCAGCCACAGCAGCUGCAGUCAAGUCAGUGAGAUCAGUGCGUUCUCGUCUCGCACAUACAGAAUCCUCGUCGCGCAAGUGGGACUUUCUGCGAAACGUACUCAAAGUGAACAGUACACAUUUUACGCGAUCGAAUUGUAAAGAGCAUCGUAUUGUGUCGUCGCGAAUAUGAGAGAACAAUAUUUGCAGUGAUGUAGUAUCGGCGACAGUGUUGAAAAAAAAGCAGAAGGAUAUACACGGCAACGCGGAGAAAAUUUUACCAAUUCUUGUGAUAUGCAUUAGGUUUUUUGAGUUUUUGUUUUGUGCGGGCGUGAUCCAUUUUUGUGGUUAUUGGUAGUGCAGUUCUCGGGGCACUUGCAGUGAAGAGGAAAUUUUCGUGGGAUACAGCCAAGGAAGAAUAGCUAUCUCGGGUGAAGUGAAGUGUGAGCCUGCAAAAAGUUAGGCAAAAAAGCAGAGUUUCCCAAGUAGUCCUAUCUGGCGUGAAUGGAAAUUGCGUGAAGAAAAG